CAGAGAUGUUGGCAACAGCAAUGUCUGGAUAAAGUUGGUCCGGAUCAUAACUCAACGACCCUGGAAAAAGGUUAAGUGCGACAAUGUCAUUUCAACCUGUAAUUAUGCAUUUUAACUAAUGAUUGUAACUUGUUUAUCCUUAUGUGACGGGAAAACAGCAGUUGUUAUAACACGGGUGUUCUGUUUCUUUCACUUCAAUACUUUGAGGAUCUGUAUUUUUUAAUGUAUGUCUCAUAAUUUGCACAACC